rnacentral:tRNA from 1 species
CAGGGAGAACCAACCUCAAAUGAUGAUCACCACUUUUUAGUGAUCCAUUUGACUGUUCAUUCCUAAGGUCGAUCGGUACCUCAGUGAGUGAUAAUCACUCACCUCGGUCCUUAAGCUUGUCUAGGUCACCACCCCUUAGCUGAUAAGCUUUGUGGGAUGGGCCCGAGAGGGUUCCUGGGCCAUUAGCUCAGGUGGUUAGAGCGCACCCCUGAUAAGGGUGAGGUCCCUGGUUCAAGUCCAGGAUGGCCCAUCGGGAUUGGGGGUUUAGCUCAGCUGGUAGAGCGCCUGCUUUGCAAGCAGGAUGUCAGCGGUUCGAGUCCGCUAACCUCCGUUAGUCUUGAUAAUGGAACUGUGGCACAGGGUGACUUAGAAGGAUGUUGGUGAUUCCAGCCUCGUUUGAUUCUUGAUUCAAGCUCAAACGAUGCUGGGCUCAGCAAUGGGUUCAGCAAGAACCUUGACAACUGCAUAGGUAAGUCUGGAAAUAAAGCAUCUCACAGAGAUGAUUCAGACAUGAAGUGAAUCACGUUACGGCGUGAUUUAUUUGAUGUUUGUUUCAACAAUUCUGGAGAAAAGCCGAGUCCUGAAUCAAUUUGAUCAGGAACAAAAU